rnacentral:rRNA from 1 species
GGAGGGUCCAAGCGUUAAUCGGAAUUACUGGGCGUAAAGCGCGCGUAGGCGGUUUAAUAAGUUGUAUGUGAAAGCCCUGGGCUCAACCUAGGAACUGCAUACAAAACUAUUAAGCUUGAGGACGAGAGAGGAGAGUAGAAUUUCAGGUGUAGCGGUGAAAUGCGUAGAUAUCUGAAGGAAUACCAAUGGCGAAGGCAGCUCUCUGGCUCGUUUCUGACGCUAAGGUGCGAAAGCGUGGGUAGCAAACAGGAUUAGAUACCCUGGUAGUCCACGCCGUAAACGAUGAUAACUAGCCGUUGGGCAGAUUUAACUGUUCAGUGGCACAGCUAACGCAUUAAGUUAUCCGCCUGGGGAGUACGGCCGCAAGGCUAAAACUCAAAUGAAUUGACGGGGGCCCGCACAAGUGGUGGAGCAUGUGGUUUAAUUCGAUGCAACGCGAAGAACCUUACCAACCUUUGAAAUCCAGAGAAGUCACCAGAGAUGGAGAUGUGCCUUCGGGAACUCUGUGACAGGUGUUGCAUGGCUGUCGUCAGCUCGUGUCGUGAGAUGUAUGGUUAAGUCCAGUAACGAGCGCAACCCCUAUCCUUAUUUGCCAGCGCGUAAUGGCGGGAACUAUAGGGAGACUGCCGGUCAAAAACCGGAGGAAGGCGGGGACGAGGUCAAGUCAUCAUGGCCCUUAUAGGUUGGGCUACACACGUGCUACAAUGGGAUGUACAGAGGGUUGCGAAAGCGUGAGCUGGAGCCAAACCCUUAAAGCAUUUCGUAGUCCGGAUUGGAGUCUGCAACUCGACUCCAUGAAGUCGGAAUCACUAGUAAUCGCGAAUCAGAAUGUCGCGGUGAAUACGUUCUCGGGCCUU